GAUGAACGCUGGCGGCGUGCCUAAUACAUGCAAGUCGAGCGAACAGACGAGGAGCUUGCUCCCCUGACGUUAGCGGCGGACGGGUGAGUAACACGUGGAUCACCUACCUAUAAGACUGGGAUAACUUCGGGAAACAGGAGCUAAUACCGGAUAAUAUAUUGAACCGCAUGGUUCAAUAGUGAAAGACGGUUUUGCUGUCACUUAUAGAUGGAUCCGCGCCGCAUUAGCUAGUUGGUAAGGUAACGGCUUACCAAGGCAACGAUGCGUAGCCGACCUGAGAGGGUGAUCGGCCACACUGGAACUGAGACACGGUCCAGACUCCUACGGGAGGCAGCAGUAGGGAAUCUUCCGCAAUGGGCGAAAGCCUGACGGAGCAACGCCGCGGGAGUGAUGAAGGUCUUCGGAUCGUAAAACUCUGUUAUUAGGGAAGAACAAAUGUGUAAGUAACUAUGCACGUCUUGACGGUACCUAAUCAGAUAGCCACGGCUAACUACGGG
rnacentral:rRNA from 1 species